AGAGUUUGAUCAUGGCUCAGGAUGAACGCUAGCUACAGGCUUAACACAUGCAAGUCGAGGGGAAACGACAUCGAAAGCUUGCUUUUGAUGGGCGUCGACCGGCGCACGGGUGAGUAACGCGUAUCCAACCUGCCCACCACUUGGGGAUAACCUUGCGAAAGUAAGACUAAUACCCAAUGACGUCUCUAGAAGACAUCUGAAAGAGAUUAAAGAUUUAUCGGUGAUGGAUGGGGAUGCGUCUGAUUAGCUUGUUGGCGGGGUAACGGCCACCAAGGCGACGAUGGAUAGGGGUUCUGAGAGGAAGGUCCCCCACAUCGGUACUGAGACACGGACCAAACUCCUACGGGAGGCA
rnacentral:rRNA from 1 species